GACCAUCCUCCAAGGCUAAAUACUCCUGAUUGACCGAUAGUGAACCAGUACUGUGAAGGAAAGGCGAAAAGAACCCCGGUGAGGGGAGUGAAAUAGAACCUGAAACCUUGUACGUACAAGCAGUGGGAGCCUGAAAGGGUGACUGCGUACCUUUUGUAUAAUGGGUCAGCGACUUAUAUUUUGUAGCGAGGUUAACCGAAUAGGGGAGCCGAAGGGAAACCGAGUCUUAACUGGGCGUCUAGUUGCAAGGUAUAGACCCGAAACCCGGUGAUCUAGCCAUGGGCAGGUUGAAGGUUGGGUAACACUAACUGGAGGACCGAACCGACUAAUGUUGAAAAAUUAGCGGAUGACUUGUGGCUGGGGGUG
rnacentral:rRNA from 1 species